rnacentral:rRNA from 1 species
UACGUAGGGUGCGAGCGUUGUCCGGAAUUACUGGGCGUAAAGAGCUCGUAGGUGGUUUGUCGCGUUGUUCGUGAAAACCGGGGGCUUAACCCUCGGCGUGCGGGCGAUACGGGCAGACGUUGAGUACUGCAGGGGAGACUGGAAUUCCUGGUGUAGCGGUGAAAUGCGCAGAUAUCAGGAGGAACACCGGUGGCGAAGGCGGGUCUCUGGGCCGUAACUGACGCUGAGGCGCGAAAGCUAGGGUAGCAAACAGG